rnacentral:rRNA from 1 species
UACGAAGGGGGCUAGCGUUGCUCGGAAUUACUGGGCGUAAAGCGCAUGUAGGCGGCGAUUCAAGUUAGAUGUGAAAGGCCCGGGCUCAACCCGGGAACUGCAUUUGAUACUGAAUUGCUAGAGUCCAAGAGAGGGUAGUGGAAUUCCCAGUGUAGAGGUGAAAUUCGUAGAUAUUGGGAGGAACACCAGUGGCGAAGGCGGCGACCUGGGCCAAUAUUGACGCUGAGGUGCGAAAGCGUGGGGAGCAAACAGG